rnacentral:rRNA from 1 species
AUUGAACGCUGGCGGCAUGCCUAACACAUGCAAGUCGAACGGAAACGAUGGGAGCUUGCUCCCAGGCGUCGAGUGGCGGACGGGUGAGUAAUGCUUAGGAAUCUGCCCAGUAGUGGGGGACAACCAGGAGAAAUCCUGGCUAAUACCGCAUACGCACUACGGUGGAAAGUGGGGGACCUUCGGGCCUCACGCUAUUGGAUGAGCCUAAGUCGGAUUAGCUUGUUGGUAGGGUAAUGGCCUACCAAGGCGACGAUCCGUAGCUGGUCUGAGAGGACGAUCAGCCACACUGGGACUGAGACACGGCCCAGACUCCUACGGGAGGCAGCAGUGGGGAAUAUUGGACAAUGGGCGCAAGCCUGAUCCAGCAAUGCCGCGUGUGUGAAGAAGGCCUGCGGGUUGUAAAGCACUUUCAGUAGAGAAGAAAAGCCUAGGGUUAAUAACCCUGAGUCUUGACGUAACCUACAGAAGAAGCACCGGCUAACUCCGUG